rnacentral:rRNA from 1 species
AGAAAACUUAGAAACUACAUCUGAUGGAUGCGUAUAUGUCUGCGUCCGUAUCUAGGGUUUGAUAAUUGCAUGUGUUUCGGCAGUUUUGAUCACCAAGGCACAAAUUUAGUUUGAUUCUUGAUCUACAAAGAUCGAUCUAGCUAAGCUUCCCGUUCUUCUCCAUCUACUUCUGCUAGUGCUUAUUAUCGCUAAUUACUCCGUCGCCGUGGCCGCAUUAGCUUAAUCCCUCCAUCUAUCCUAGUACUACAACUAGCACGUACACUUCUACUUCUUCCAAAAAUUAUUUCUUCCUUUCAAAAAAAUAAUAAUUUCUUCUACCUGUUUGCGCGAGUGAAAGAUCUGGGUCACUACAUAAAAUCGUCUCAAAGCUAUUUGAGCCGUAUCAUGGCGACAACUCCAGGAGGAGCAGGUGCGCGAGCUGCAGCCGCGACUCCUCCGAAUAUGGUGACGCGAUGGAGAAGGAAGUGUGGCAGGGGGCGCAUCGACCUCGUCCGGGUGGAUCUCGUCCUUCUGUGACUUCAUCGGGACGAGAGCUCACGGGGCCGUUCGCGUCCGCCUUCUAACUCUUGUUGCCGCCUUGCCGUCAGGGCCAUGGGGAAGAGCCGCGCCACACCUGGGUGCCGGUGGUGGCGGCGGCUGCGGGGAGGGCGCCGGUGGUGACGGCGGCGGCAGAUGAGGGAAGGGAGAGGGAGAGGAAUCGGGGCUGGGCCGCUGGCCAAUCUCUUUCUCUCUUUCUUCCCGAUGAAGUGAAUCUCUUUGUCUAGUAGCUAAUCCGAUAUGGACAUCGCGAGCUUGCGUGAGGCUUAUUGUGUUCGAUUCGUGGUAUCCGACUUGGAAAAAAGAGGUCUUUAUCCAGCCGGAAUCCAUAAGCGGCUUGGUCCCUUUUCCUCACCGUUAAUCCUGCUGCCCGAGAUCUCCACAGCCGUUCAUCGCGACAUCCCAGUCCCUUCAAAGCACCGCCGCCCCCUAUCUUUCGUUCCGUAUCGUCGCCUAUCGGUUCAAAUAAGGGUGCAGCGGCCGCCGUUGACGACGACCGCCCACUUCUCCGGUUAGAUCGACCGGAGAGUGAGGGGGAGAGCAGCAUCCAGUAUCGCGUCGUGCCCCAACCAUAGUUUUUGGUUCCCUGUCCCCUUUGUGUUUCUUCUAUUCUACUUGCUGCUGAUUCGGUAAGUCAGAUCUGCUAGGGAUGGCAGCUCCCUUAGUCUUUUGUGUGUCAAUUUGGUUAUACCGUGUGUUAAGAUGCACACUUCAGUCAUAUUUCAUUUCUUGUUGGACUAGAAUCAUAGGUUUUACGAAGUUCUCAGACCAUCCCAAGCACAGAGAAAAAAAAGAUGGUUCGACUCAGUUACAUUUUAGUUCCAUUCUCCUCCUCAAUUUGCUGACUUUCCAUGCAUAAUAUUGUAUCACAUACUGAAAUAACUUUGCAGUUUUGCUAAAGCACAUCUAGAUGUGCUCUAAGUAUUGUGCAAAGAUUCAUGCAAGCAUUUUCUUUUGUCUUUUUCUUUUCCUUUCAAGUUUGAUUGAGUCGUUUAGAUGUGCAAUAACUAGGGCACAUCAAGAUGUACCCUAGACAGACCCAUAACUUUACCUUGUCAAUGUCAGCUUCAAAAUGGGAAACCAUGUAAUGAGUGAAAGAACAACAUUGGAUCAUUGCUAUAGCAAACAAAUCCACCAGAAGGGAAGGUCAAAUGUUAUAACAGAAGACCCUCUCCAGGUCAAAAAUAAAAUGACGAACUAUCUAAUGAGCACAGAAACAACUUUGGACCAUUACAAUGUCAAACCAUCCAACCAGAAAGGAAGGAAAAAUGUUAAAUUUGAAGACCUUCCUGAGGAUGUGCUUCGCACAAUUUUAUCGAAAUUGCCUGUAAAAGAGGUUUUGAAGACUAGUGCUUUAUCAAGUCAGUGGAGAUAUUCGUGGACUAUCUGUCCCAAAUUAAGUUUCAAUAGUGUUGCCGUACGUGGCGGGAUUAGGCUUGACGAACAAAAAAAUGAACAGCAGAAUUUCAUUGAUGACGUUAGUUUGGUUUUGCAAAAGUAUCAAGGCAAAGAAGUUGAAAAUUUUGAAGUCAAAUAUGCAUUUGACAGCAAGCUGGUUGAUCAUCUCAAUUGCUGGGUUAGUUUUGCUGUGUCGUCACGGAUGAGGAAUCUAGCUUUAGAUCUAGCACCUACCAAAUCUGGGGGUCGUGAUGAUCGUUAUGCGUUUCCGUUUGGACUGUUUGACAGUGAGAGCCUAGCACGUCUUCAGUGCAUUCAACUAAGUUUUGUAUUGUUGAAAUUACCUAUGCAGUUCAGAGGUUUUCCGAACCUGAGAAAGCUAGAUCUGAACUUGCUGCAUGUCACUAGCAAUGAUCUUGAGAAUAUGUUGUCCAAUUGCUACAGUCUCGAGUGGUUGAGCAUUGUAAGAUGCCAUCUGAAUGAUGAACUUAGGGUUGAAAGCCCGAUGUCCCAUCUAUGUACUUGCGAGUUGUGAAUUGCAUUAUAACCAAGGUACAGUUCCACGCUACAAGGCUCUCCACCUUUGAAUAUAAAGGACAGUUUGUUCCUAUCGACUUCACUAGAUGUUUGAAGAUGGAAAACACAAACAUUUUGUUCUACAAGGCAGUUUUUCAGCAUGCUCUCAUUGCGCUUCUGAAUGAUAUUCCAAGCAUUCAAAACCUGACUCUGCAAAUCUUGUUUCAACGACUAGAGAUGCAAUGGGAUUUAGGUCACCAACACAAGCUCUCCCAGCUUAAGAAAGUCCAGUUUUUGAUGCAUAUAUUUGAGGAAGAUGUUGACAAUGUUCUCUAUUUGGUCUGCUUCUUGAAGGCAGUUCCCUUCAUGGAAAAGUUGGAGCUUCAUUUUGGUGGAUGCAAGGAGUUAUGGUUUGCAAACAACGGUCCUGCUAUCUGAAGGAUAUUAUGGUUUGCAAACAACGGUCCUGCUAUCUGACAGUUUGGUGGAUGCAAGGAGUUAUGGUUUGCAAACAACGGUCCUUCCACAUACAUGGCGUGAAUACAGUUAUCUGAAGGAUAUUCAUAUUACAGGAUAUAAAGCGGCAAGAGGCCAACUGCAGUUUCUUCUUCAUAUUGUGCAACAUGCCCCUGCAUUGGAGGCUUUAACUGUCGAUACAACUCAGUUGCUCCCAGAAGAAUGUUUUCCAGACAAAGUUGACAGCUCAUUCCUCCAUCAUGUUACUAGGCACGCAAGAGAUCAUCUGAGUCAAGAACUUUCGUCAAAGGUGAAGCUUUGCGUUCUUUAAGGGUGCGCUUGGUAGCCGUCUCACCCUGGCAUGUCUGUUCUCGCUGGUGCAUGAUGUCUAGCCAUGUUGUGCACUAUGUUUGGUAGUCUGUGUGCUGGGACAUGUUGAGCUGAGAUCUUGUUUGGUGCGUUGCAUUGUGGUUGCCUCCUCCACGAGGUUGUGAGGACACCAUUAUUAGUUCAGAGAUGUGAUAAAAAAUAGAUUAUGUGGACAAUGUAUGAGAUUUCAAUACCAAAACAACAUUUGAACACUAGCUAUUUUUGCCUGUGCGUUACAACAGGGGAAUAAAUAUUCUAGUGGUCCAACGGAUACUUUACACUCACUGUAUUCUAGAUUUUGA